rnacentral:rRNA from 1 species
GAUGAACGCUGGCGGCGUGCCUAAUACAUGCAAGUCGAGCGAACAGACGAGGAGCUUGCUCCUCUGACGUUAGCGGCGGACGGGUGAGUAACACGUGUAUAACCUACCUAUAAUACUGGGAUAACUUCGGGAAACCGGAGCUAAUACCGGAGAAUAUAUUGAACCGCAUGGUUCAAUAGUGAAAUACGGUUUUGCUGUCACUUAUAGAUGCAUCCGGGCCGCAUUAGAUAGUAGGUAAGGUAACGGCUUACCAAGGCAACGAGGCGUAGCCGACCUGAGAGGGUGAUAGGCGACAUGGGAGCUGGGACACGGUCAAGAGUCCUAAGGGAGGCAGCAGAAGGGAAUGUUACGCAAUGGGCGAAAGCUUGACGGAGCAACGGGGCGUGAGUGAUGAAGGUCUUCGGAUCGUAAAACUCUGUUAUUAGGGAAGAACAAAUGUGUAAGUAAAUAUGCACGUAUUGACGGUACCUAAUAAGAAAGCACCGGCUAACUACGUG